GGGGAUAUGGCGCAGUGGAUUAGCGCGUUCGCUUUGCAUGUGAAAGGACCGGGGUUCGAUCCCCUGUAUCUCCA
rnacentral:tRNA from 1 species